UCGUCGCUAGUACAUAAGCGCAACAUGAGAAACCGUUCAUCACUCUGGAACCGGGACGAUACCAAUACAUUGUGAGAUAAUUUCCACUUGCGUUGCGAGACCACGGUUGCUCGUCAGACUGAUACGGACAUCGGAAUAAAGUGAAUGGGCGGCCGACAUCAAGAGUGCGCGACCAAAAAACUCUCUCGCUCACGACCACCAGUACAGUCCUGCUCACAGUUCGAGUGAGUCUCUAAUGAAGAGAGCACCAACACAAUUGAAGCCGGUUGCAGAUUGGCAAGUGCGACAUAGGAGCAAGGCAAACAGUUCGCACUAGGCCCCGCGACAGAUCGUGCGAUCAAAAGUCCGUGCGGUGAAAUAAAAGUAGCAGUGGUGCAAUUUGUGCUACCAGACCGGUAGCAAAAUAAGCAGAAAAGCUUGGAAAAGGUGGUGUUUGGCACAUUAGCAUAAAGCUGGGUCAACUAGCGGUGACGACUGUGCGGAAAAAUCAGGGAAAUUCGUCUGACGGCAGGGUAAGAACCCAGAAGCGCGUGCUUUUAAAGGCAGGAAGCAAUCAAAAGGAAUUGAUUAGCAUACUAACACCGGACAUCCAUAGCAACAUCAGACCAACAGGCAUUCCCACUCACCAUCCGCCAAAGAAAAUACCGACACGCGUGGCAUUAGCGAUCGCCUCGAUUACCGGUCAGUUGUCGUAGGCCGAUCUGUGUAGCAGAACGUACCGGCGCCAAAAAGCAACAACUAAACAGUGCUCGGGCAAAGAUUGCCAGUGGCCGGCGAGCGACCCAGUCGUGGGUAGAAGCGGAUUCGGAAUUAGCUUCGUUGGCAGAAGAAGGAGCCC